CUGAUGUCUUGUGGUCUCAGCGUGGAGCUGCAGCAGUGAGCAGGAAACAGCUGCAGCUCUCUGACUCUGUGUGUUUGCAUACAUGUGUCCUCCUCUCUGCUUCCAGCCAUAAGAGGCUGCUGUCCAUCAGUGGCUGUCCAGGCCUUUCACACACACAUGAUGAUGUCACUGACUCUGCUGCUGGCCACCCUGGGGCUCCUUGUUCAGGCCUCAUCAGGAGAAAUCCUCCUGACUCAGUCUCCUGGAUCUCAGUCUGCUGUUCCAGGACAGACUGUCUCCAUGAUAUGUAAAGCUAGUUCAGCUGUUGAUGAUGACCUCCACUGGUACCUUCAGAAACCUGGAGAAGCUCCUAAACUCCUGAUUUAUGCUGACUCAACCCGUCAGUCUGGAGUUUCAGCUCGUUUCAGUGGAAGUGGAUUUGGUUAUGACUUCACUCUGACCAUCAGUGGAGUUCAGGCUGAAGAUUCAGGAGUUUACUACUGUCAGCAGGAUGAGGAGUUCCCGCUCAGGACUUUUGGUGGAGGAUCCAGACUGGAUGUUGGAAGUGAUGCCCCUCCCACCCUGACGGUGCUGCCCCCCUCCAGGGAGCAGCUGCAGCAGGGGACGGCCACGCUCAUGUGCCUGGCCAACAAGGGCUUCCCCUCAGACUGGAGUCUGUCUGAUCUUAUCAGAGAUAAGGAAAUAUGA